UACGCUGGCGGCAUGCCUAACACAUGCAAGUCGAACGAAGUAGCAAUACUUAGUGGCAGACGGGUGAGUAACAUGUGGGUAUCUGCCCUAUGGCCUGGAAUAACACGAGGAAACUUGUGCUAAUACCGGAUAAGUCUUUACGGAGAAAGCUUUAUCACCAUUGGAUGAGCCCGCACUUGAUUAGUUUGUUGGUGGGGUAAUGGCCUACCAAGACUGUGAUCAAUAGCUGAUUUGAGAGGAUGAUCAGCCACAUUGGGACUGAGACACGGCCCAAACUCCUACGGGAGGCAGCAGUGGGGAAUCUUGCACAAUGGAGGAAACUCUGAUGCAGCGAUGCCGCGUGAGUGAAGAAGGCCCUUGGGUUGUAAAGGUCUUUCGUCGGGGAAGAAAAUGACUGUACCCGAUUAAGAAGUUCCGG
rnacentral:rRNA from 1 species